AAUUCCACCCUGACUUCCACCAUGGCUUGGCUGCCACUUCUCAUCCUCUCCACUUACUUUAUGGGGACUUUUUCCCAGUUUGUCCUGAAUCAACCAGCUUCUGUGUCUGGAUUUCCUGGAGGGACAAUCCGAAUCACUUGUACUAAAAGCAGUGGAACAAUUGAAACAUACGAUUCCUCCUGGUAUCAACAGAAGCCUGGAAAUACCCCCAAACUCCUUAUAUAUGGUGAUAGCGAAAGAGCCUCUGGAAUCCCAGCACGAUUCUCCGGUUCUGUUGAAAACUCGAGAACAUCUGCCGCCUUAAUCAUCUCUAAUCUUGAAACAGAGGAUGAAGGUGAUUAUUAUUGCCUCUCUAUUGCAGAUGAUGGCAAGUCCACAGUGCUACAAUCCCACUGA